rnacentral:rRNA from 1 species
AAAGCGGGUGAAAAGCCCGCUCGCCGGAAGACCAAGGGUUCCUGUCCAACGUUAAUCGGGGCAGGGUGAGUCGACCCCUAAGGCGAGGCCGAAAGGCGUAGUCGAUGGGAAACAGGUUAAUAUUCCUGUACUUGGUGUUACUGCGAAGGGGGGACGGAGAAGGCUAUGUUGGCCGGGCGACGGUUGUCCCGGUUUAAGCGUGUAGGCUGGUUUUCCAGGCAAAUCCGGAAAAUCAAGGCUGAGGCGUGAUGACGAGGCACUACGGUGCUGAAGCAACAAAUGCCCUGCUUCCAGGAAAAGCCUCUAAGCAUCAGGUAACAUCAAAUCGUACCCCAAACCGACACAGGUGGUCAGGUAGAGAAUACCAAGGCGCUUGAGAGAACUCGGGUGAAGGAACUAGGCAAAAUGGUGCCGUAACUUCGGGAGAAGGCACGCUGAUAUGUAGGUGAAGCGACUUGCUCGUGGAGCUGAAAUCAGUCGAAGAUACCAGCUGGCUGCAACUGUUUAUUAAAAACACAGCACUGUGCAAACACGAAAGUGGACGUAUACGGUGUGACGCCUGCCCGGUGCCGGAAGGUUAAUUGAUGGGGUCAGCGCAAGCGAAGCUCUUGAUCGAAGCCCCGGUAAACGGCGGCCGUAACUAUAACGGUCCUAAGGUAGCGAAAUUCCUUGUCGGGUAAGUUCCGACCUGCACGAAUGGCGUAAUGAUGGCCAGGCUGUCUCCACCCGAGACUCAGUGAAAUUGAACUCGCUGUGAAGAUGCAGUGUACCCGCGGCAAGACGGAAAGACCCCGUGAACCUUUACUAUAGCUUGACACUGAACAUUGAGCCUUGAUGUGUAGGAUAGGUGGGAGGCUUAGAAGUGUGGACGCCAGUCUGCAUGGAGCCGACCUUGAAAUACCACCCUUUAAUGUUUGAUGUUCUAACGUUGACCCGUGAUCCGGGUUGCGGACAGUGUCUGGUGGGUAGUUUGACUGGGGCGGUCUCCUCCUAAAGAGUAACGGAGGAGCACGAAGGUUGGCUAAUCCUGGUCGGACAUCAGGAGGUUAGUGCAAUGGCAUAAGCCAGCUUGACUGCGAGCGUGACGGCGCGAGCAGGUGCGAAAGCAGGUCAUAGUGAUCCGGUGGUUCUGAAUGGAAGGGCCAUCGCUCAACGGAUAAAAGGUACUCCGGGGAUAACAGGCUGAUACCGCCCAAGAGUUCAUAUCGACGGCGGUGUUUGGCACCUCGAUGUCGGCUCAUCACAUCCUGGGGCUGAAGUAGGUCCCAAGGGUAUGGCUGUUCGCCAUUUAAAGUGGUACGCGAGCUGGGUUUAGAACGUCGUGAGACAGUUCGGUCCCUAUCUGCCGUGGGCGCUGGAGAACUGAGGGGGGCUGCUCCUAGUACGAGAGGACCGGAGUGGACGCAUCACUGGUGUUCGGGUUGUCAUGCCAAUGGCACUGCCCGGUAGCUAAAUGCGGAAGAGAUAAGUGCUGAAAGCAUCUAAGCACGAAACUUGCCCCGAGAUGAGUUCUCCCUGACCCUUUAAGGGUCCUGAAGGAACGUUGAAGACGACGACGUUGAUAGGCCGGGUGUGUAAGCGCAGCGAUGCGUUGAGCUAACCGGUACUAAUGAACCGUGAGGCUUAACCUU